rnacentral:rRNA from 1 species
GAUGAACGCUGGCGGCGUGCCUAAUACAUGCAAGUCGAGCGAACAGACGAGGAGCUUGCUCCUCUGACGUUAGCGGCGGACGGGUGAGUAACAUGUGGAUAACCUACCUAUAAGACUGGGAUAACUUCGGGAAACCGGAGCUAAUACCGGAUAAUAUAUUGAACCGCAUGGUUCAAUAGUGAAAGACGGUUUUGCUGUCACUUAUAGAUGGAUCCGCGCCGCAUUAGCUAGUUGGUAAGGUAACGGCUUACCAAGGCAACGAUGCGUAGCCGACCUGAGAGGGUGAUCGGCCACACUGGAACUGAGACACGGUCCAGACUCCUACGGGAGGCAGCAGUAGGGAAUCUUCCGCAAUGGGCGAAAGCCUGACGGAGCAACGCCGCGUGAGUGAUGAAGGUCUUCGGAUCGUAAAACUCUGUUAUUAGGGAAGAACAAAUGUGUAAGUAACUAUGCACGUCUUGACGGUACCUAAUCAGAAAGCCACGGCUAACCACGUG